rnacentral:other from 1 species
GCGGGGCUGCCCGGUUCGUCAGGGAAAUGUAUCCCCGGGCCCUUAUUGAUCCGUCCGGGAGCUGUUCCUGACCUGGCCCGUGGGCCAGGACAAACGGCGCCCACCUACAUUGUAGGUGUCCCGGGAUCGAAAACCCAACGGCCAUGGCGGCUCCGCA